rnacentral:miRNA from 1 species
UAAUAUUGUGAUUAAUGGGUUUUGUAAGGCUGGGAAGUUGCAGAAGGCUAGUGAUGUUGUUGAGGAUAUGAAGGUGUGGGGGAUUGAGCCGUCGGUGAUUACUUAUAAUACACUUAUUGAUGGUU